CCCAGCCCUGGAUUCCCCUGUCCUCACAUUCAUUGACCAGUAGUAAACACCGAGCACUUGCCAUGGACCUCAGGCUCAGCUUGGUUUUCCUUAUCCUUAUUUCAACAGGGGUAGAGUGUGAGGUGAAGCUGGUGGAGUCUGGGGGAGGCUUAGUACAGCCUGGAAGUUCUCUGAAGCUCUCAUGUGCAGCGUCUGGAUUCACUUUCGAUGACUAUGCAAUGGCAUGGGUCCGCCAGAUUCCAAAGAAGGGGCUGGAGUGGAUGGCAAGCAUUAGUUGGAGUGGUGGUAGCACCUACUAUCCAGACACGAUGAAGGGCCGAUUCACCAUCUCCAGAGACAAUGCAAAAAAUGCCCUAUACCUGCAAAUGAGCAGUCUGAGGUCUGAGGACACAGCCAUAUAUUACUGUGCAAGACACACAGUGGGUGAAUAUUACUGUGAGCUCAAACAUAAACCUCCUGCAGAGCACUUGAGACCAGCAGAGGGCACAGAGAGCACACAAAAACUCCUAGUUACUGACAGUUAUAGCCUAUGUAGAAAGAGUUAG